GAUAUAGUCAUUUGAAGACAAUGAAAAGAAACAUUUAAAACUCCAAAACUGAAACUACAAAGUAAGUUCGAAUGCGAAAAAAUAAAAAACACUCUCAAUCCUGAGGGAUUUCAACAUCUCCAUCAGUAAUUUCCUGCUGUAAAUCCUUGGGGUCCUUACCGUCGACCGUACAUCCAACAGAAACGCAAGUACCGAGAAUCUCCU
rnacentral:misc_RNA from 1 species